GAUAGGUCAAUAGUUACCACAGAUAUUCGACUAGCUACAGUUGUGUCUGGGGCUACGCGUUUCUUAUUACUGUUAAUCAAUCCCGAAAACACGUUCUCGCUUUUUUACUUUAUCGUUUUACUUCCAUAGGUUACGUUUAUCGUGUGACAGCCAUCGCCACGAAUAAAAAUUCGAGAGAGUGAUAGAGUGAUAACUCGAACACAAUGGGUGCAUUCAGUACUGCAAUUGUUCUUGCAUCUGAUUGGUGUAUAUUUGUUACAUCGAAAAGAGCAUGACGAUCAGAUGCAAGAAUUGAACACUCGGUUAUAUAGCACUAGAGGCCGAUAGUUUCUAUCUCUUGGUAAGUUACUUGACAAACAAAUCAUAUGUGUCUUCGUUUUUUCUUCAAAUUAGAUAAACACAUGAUUUAACUGUUAAGUAGCUAGCAAGAGGUUGGAACAAAAUCGGUUCUAAAUACAGCUAUUUAUCGAUCGGUCGCGCCUAUCGAUCCGUCGCGCGCGCGACAAUCGAUUGGUCGCGCGCGCACGGCGCGGUCGCUCGCGUAUCACAGGCGCGUCCGCGUACGUGACUAAUUGCGCGGGCACCGUCCUUUUGCGUCGAGCGGCCGCCAUUGACACAUCGAUCCACAUUGCUCCGUCUUUUACGCAUCUUUUGUCCGUCGAAAACGAGUCUCAUACGGGAAUAAGUGUCGAGAGUGCUGAAGAUAACAAUGUGCGAUAUCGUCAGGAGGAUAACAUAAAUUUCAGAUUCAGCAGAGCUCGUAGUUACACGUUGGGUGCAGUCAAUAUCCUCCAAAAGAUAUGAGGUGCAGCACCGGCGGUUCUGGCUCAGGACGAUGGGCUCGAAGAUUCGAAUGCAGCAGAAGAUGAUACGGAUCCAAUGCUGAGCUAGCGAUCUCUGCGCCAAGUCGGCCGACGUAUCGACCCGUAAUUGCUAAACAGCGCACUGGAAAGGCUCGAGAUCAGAAUCGUGCGGGGCACGAACACGCGUAUCCCCUCUUCGAGACAUGCUACGAAAGUGGCGAGCUAGACUUAAUUGAGGAAGAGAGUAGUGGAAAGAAGAAUUGCGAAAUGUGUCGACUAGACGUAUCGAUUAUGUCACGACUGUUGAUCUACAUUUUCACGGUAUCCUCGGGAUCGUUAAUGUGAAUCGUUCAUAUCGUAGUCAUAUUCAUAGUCGGUUGGUUUCAUUAAAUCUUUAAACGUCAAAUACGCGUCGUCGAGUGGAAGAGACUAAUUAUAAUAAUAAUCAAGCUCCGGAGCGUGAAGUAGCUAUUUGGGAAAUAUUUAGAUUAAAACCGUCGUGAUUAAUAACUUGAUAUUUGAAAAACAAGAGACCGGCUAGACUGCACAAUUCCUGUCUCUGAUGAUGUAAAUUUUUUAAAGCAUAUUAUAAUUACAUUUAUCGCCGCGCAUAUUUGAUAUGAAGUGUGUUAAAAAAAGCGAUAUGUACCAUCUAGACAGAACAAAUGUAACUUGAAAUGAAUCUCGAUGGGAUCCUUUAAAGGCAUUAAAACACGCGUAAUCCGUAGAUACACGAAUUAAAAUUAAACGACGUAUCGAGCCUCGAAAAGUGGAGCACGUUCGCUACCACUUCUUCCUGCUUCCAUUUUUAUUUUUUCUUCUUGAAAACUAAUCUGACGGCAGUGUGUUGCGCCGGUAAUUAACGUCGACCUCGCUCAAAGAUUUAAUAUCGAGAGCCGCAUACCUCGGCGUCAAUUACACGAAAGAUACGUUUGCUUCUGUCGGUCGCGCAACACCGUCUCGUAUUUCUUUCGCGAAACGCGAGGAAACGCAUGGAGACUCGAGCGAGUUUUGAUUAAUGGAACAUUGGAAGCUGAGAAAGAAGAAAGAACCGCCCCGAGCACCCAAAGGUGUAAUUAACAACGGCAAUCAGACGUCUUAGUGAAUUUUUUUAUGUAUAAGUCAAGAAGCGGAAAGACGAGAGAGGCGGAGGGGGAGGGAAGGAGCGAGUUAGUCGGAUCGGCGAAACUUAUGACAGUUCGAUGGAUAUUCCUUCCAACACGAGCAACGCUCGAGUUCUGAGAUGAAAAAAAGCAAGCGAUAUCUUUAUUAAAGUUGGAAGCCUCCGUAUACUUCCGAUAUCUAUCCGUGUCUCUUAAAUUACAGUUUCGCGGUGCAUCUCUUGGACGAUGGUGAAGAGCAACUGCGAAUACAACAUACAAAAUACAACGCGAUACAUAUAUUUACUAAAAGAAUCAACAUCGGGAGGAUACAAAAUAUUAACGAAAGAUAAACUCAAAUUUCUGUUAAAAAAAAUUGUGCCUCGCUCCAGUUAAAAAAACCCUUCGCUCUAUUUUUUUAAUCAAUUUUCGUAACAAUAUCAAUUGUUGACUGCGUGACAGCUAUUUAGUCGUUAGUUUAAAAAACGGAGAAUUGGAGAUGCUCGCUACAAAAACGAGCAAAGUUAGUUUAAUGUCGGGGAAACAACAGCAAAAAAAGAUUGCUGUUUAUUGAAAAGUCAUGUAAGUCUAAGUGAGGGAGGGGGCGCGCUAGGUGGUAAUUAAGUAAGUAAUUAAGCCACUGACGUGGCUUGUAAUUAUCGCUGACGUGCUCGAGAGGGAUGAGAGAGGGUGAAAGAGACAGAGUCGCGAAGGGAGAGGAAAUCAGAAAGUUGGAAGCGAGCUUCAAAGAGCUUCAAACCUUCUUCUAGACUUUACGAUCGCAACCCCCAUGGCCUUUACAGUUGCCGAGAAAUUCGACGGGACGAGGGGGAGAAGGGGCGAGGUUGGGUGGGGGGGGAGGGCUGGUGGUGGAAACGGCAGCUGGAUAUUGAUCCCCAAACAAAACAGGCAGAGCGCGAGUGUCUAGCGGUGUAAUUUCUGACAAUCCAUGGGAUACAGCGGAGCCGGUAAAUAUCUCACGGCGUCUUCCAUUACGUAAAACAAUAUUUGCGGUGCAUUAUAAACUCGUGGUGUGUAUAUGCGAAAAAAAUUGCGAGUACGAGCUCGUUACGCGGAAAUUCCGUCUUAACGUGCGCAAAAAGAAGGCGCAAUGAAAUCCGCGCGACAUCGUGGCGUCAACAGAGCGAGUCUUUUUAACUUCUCGAGAGAAAUUUUGCAUUUUAAAGAACGAUAAGUUGCGACGUUAAAUUACAGAGAAAUUUGAACGACUUGUGGUGUACAUCUGAACUGUCGACGCACUGUCGUCAUGCUGUUCGUCACGUUUAAUUCAACUUUGAAUAACAUACAAUUUUUAUUCGCGUCACCUGUGAGAUAAUCAGUAAAUUAAUUUCAGUUUAUCGCCGAAGAUACAAUCACACAAGUGCCAGACAGUCGAUUACUGCAGAAUUUCACGAAAUGUGAAAGUAACGAAAGUCGACGUUCGGUUGAAUGUGAGCGUAUCAAGGAUCACAAAAUCGGAUUGAUUUUCGAGUUUUAAUUAUAAAUCUCAAAUCAUUCUCUUUCUCGAAUUACUCGGUUUCGUUGGGCGAUUCCUCUCGAGAAUUGUUUGUUUCCUUCGAUCCGGCAAGAUUCACUUAUUUCGCGCUUCAAUUUCGGCGAGAGCUUGCGUGUCUUUCUCUUUCCCUGCGAAAUUUCUUCCCGUACAAAUUCUCGAUCGUCUCCUCGACAGAUUCUCGAAAUUGUUUUCUACGCGAGUACUCGUUCGAGAGCGCCCUUUGAGAAAGCAGAGAGAAAGCGAGAGAAAAAGAGAGAGAGACGGAGAAUGCCCCGGUGUAAAUGCAGCGCAACCGACGAGCCCCGAGGGUCGUCUCGAAGCUCGAGUGCGAGGAAAGUUCGGCAGGCUUGCCUUUUUAUCCCUCCAGCAGACGUAAAGGGGCGCACUUACACACUCCGCACUCCCUUUCCUCGUGUCGCUCGCUAGCUCCACCUUACUCAUUCCUCACGUCUCCCUUUGCGUCCUACUACGAAGUCUAGAACCGAUGUAUAGCUAUAUUCGGUUUCCUUUCGUCUCGACUAGACGUU